CAGCCGCCGCGGGAAUACGAAGGGGGCUAGCGUUGCUCGGAAUGACUGGGCGUAAAGGGCGCGUAGGCGGCACAUACAGUCAGAAGUGAAAUUCCUGGGCUCAACCUGGGGACUGCUUUUGAUACGUGUAAGCUAGAGUGAGGAAGAGGGUUGUGGAAUUUCCAGUGUAGAGGUGAAAUUCGUAGAUAUUGGAAAGAACACCGGUGGCGAAGGCGGCAACCUGGUCCUUUACUGACGCUGAGGCGCGAAAGCGUGGGGAGCAAACAGGAUUAGAUACCCCCGUAGUCCCUGUCUCUUAUAC
rnacentral:rRNA from 1 species